rnacentral:rRNA from 1 species
AUGGAGCAGUUGGUAGUCUCGCUUCCAGGUUUUUUUUCGUCCCACCAACACCGGUUUAUUUUCGUCCUCCCUCCCACCUCCCACGUCCGUUUUUUUCGCUGGUUUUUUCGUCACCUCCCACACCCCACGCCGCAAAAAAUCAGCCUGUCGAUCCUAUCCCCGAUCUCCAUCAUCUCGAUAGUUCUUUCGUUGCCGCCGCCGCCGUACGAGGGGAGACCCCGCCGCCGCCGAGGGGAGGGGACGAAACCGCCGAGGGGAGAUGCCGCCGCCUCCGUCCGAGGGGAGAAGCAGGGGAGAAGCUGUCGUCCGAGGGGAGACCCUGCCGCCGCGGAUCCAGGGCAGGGCGGCUUGAAUCCCUGUCCCCGAGGUCGCCCCCGCCGAUCUCCUGGAGACGGCGUCACCAGGGGCUCCGAGACCAGGCCGAGAUCCCCUGUAGCCUGGGAGGAGUUCAGUGACCCGUCCGAAGCGGAGCUCGUCUGCGACCACACGCUCUGGGCGGUCCUGCAGGAGGCCUUCGACUGUAGCAACGUGGACAUCUACGGGAGGCUGGCGAUUGGGAAAUCUACCGCAUUAUUCUUGUGUGAAGAGUGGACUGCCACACCUGUUUGCGAAGCCCUUGGUGACAUUGCUGAUGUAUCUGUGGCAGUACUAGCUAUUUGUUCUGGGGUCAAAGGAUUAUGUAAUGGUGCAAGGUCAGAUGAGAAGCAGCAAAUGAAAGCACUUCUUGAAAAUGUUGGAUCUUCAAUGUGUUCGGACCACUGUGAUUGGUUUGGAAACAGUGGUCUUGAGGCUCUGUCUCGAAAUGUUGAUACAUUACCCGUCAUCCAUUUUCUGCAAGUGCGUCCAACGAACUAUGAAAUUAAGAAAUUACAGGAGAUGUUUCAUCUGGUGAAGCAGAAAAAUUUCCCUGCAGCUUUCAGAUGUUACUGGAAUAAUCAAAAAUUUGAUUCUCUUUCAAAUGAUUACUUGUAUUACAAGAUGCUUAUCCAUGGGCACAGUGAUUCUGCUUUUGGACAUUUGCAGCAAGAGAUGAAUUUAUUAACUCUAAUGGAUCCCCCAUUUUCCUUUCUAGGAAAAAUCAAGAGUUAUGGCUACUAUACAGAGGGCUGCACUUUUUCCAUGGUGGAGCAAGCACGCAUGUUGGAAGAUGAGGAAUACGAGUUUUUGCACGUGACAUAUUCGAUGAAAUGCAGUGCAGAUCACACUUCAGCCGCUCCAAUCAACACCACCACAUUCUACAUAUUCAUUCCAGUUAGAGCCCUCAUUGAAAGUCUAAAAGAGAGUCAUUGCCCUGCUUCAGAGCUGGUAUUUCAAGCAACCGAAAUAUGGAUUUUUGGUGAGCUGCACAUGCUCUUGUUGAGUUGGUUCUUUGGCAGUGCACUAUCACCUCCUGCGAUAGCUGAGAACCGUUUUACAUGUCAAUCAUACAUAGAACAGGAUAUCAUCCGUCGCGGGAGGGAAGUUGGAGAUGAUGGAUCCGGGGAGAUGCAGCAGCUGCUGGCAGGGGCACCGCUAUUCACGUGUGUGUUUGUUGCCGCUUCUCACGUGUAG